UACGUAGGGGGCAAGCGUUGUCCGGAUUUAUUGGGCGUAAAGCGCGCGCAGGUGGUGGAUUAAGUUGUGGGUAAAAGGCAUUGGCUCAACCAAUGUAAGCCUGCAAAACUGGUUCACUUGAGUGCAGGAGAGGGGAGUGGAAUUCCCGGUGUAGCGGUGGAAUGCGUAGAUAUCCAGAGGAACUCCGGUGGCGAAGGCGGCACGCUGGACCCCGUCUGACGCUGAGGCGCGAAAGCCAGGGGAGCGAACGGG
rnacentral:rRNA from 1 species